rnacentral:rRNA from 1 species
CUGGCGGCGUGCCUAAUACAUGCAAGUAGAACGCUGAAGAGAGGAGCUUGCUCUUCUUGGAUGAGUUGCGAACGGGUGAGUAACGCGUAGGUAACCUGCCUGGUAGCGGGGGAUAACUAUUGGAAACGAUAGCUAAUACCGCAUAAAAUUGAUUAUCGCAUGAUAAUCAAUUGAAAGGUGCAAAUGCAUCACUACCAGAUGGACCUGCGUUGUAUUAGCUAGUUGGUGGGGUAACGGCUCACCAAGGCGACGAUACAUAGCCGACCUGAGAGGGUGAUCGGCCACACUGGGACUGAGACACGGCCCAGACUCCUACGGGAGGCAGCAGUAGGGAAUCUUCGGCAAUGGACGGAAGUCUGACCGAGCAACGCCGCGUGAGUGAAGAAGGUUUUCGGAUCGUAAAGCUCUGUUGUAAGAGAAGAACGAGUGUGAGAGUGGAAAGUUCACACUGUGACGGUAUCUUACCAGAAAGGGACGGCUAACUACGUGCCAGCAGCCGCGGUAAUACGUAGGUCCCGAGCGUUGUCCGGAUUUAUUGGGCGUAAAGCGAGCGCAGGCGGUUAGAUAAGUCUGAAGUUAAAGGCUGUGGCUUAACCAUAGUACGCUUUGGAAACUGUUUAACUUGAGUGCAAGAGGGGAGAGUGGAAUUCCAUGUGUAGCGGUGAAAUGCGUAGAUAUAUGGAGGAACACCGGUGGCGAAAGCGGCUCUCUGGCUUGUAACUGACGCUGAGGCUCGAAAGCGUGGGGAGCAAACAGGAUUAGAUACCC